rnacentral:rRNA from 1 species
GGGACACGUGGUAUCCUGUCUGAAUAUGGGGGGACCAUCCUCCAAGGCUAAAUACUCCUGACUGACCGAUAGUGAACCAGUACCGUGAGGGAAAGGCGAAAAGAACCCCGGCGAGGGGAGUGAAAAAGAACCUGAAACCGUGUACGUACAAGCAGUGGGAGCCUCUUAAUGGGGUGACUGCGUACCUUUUGUAUAAUGGGUCAGCGACUUAUAUUCUGUAGCAAGGUUAACCGAAUAGGGGAGCCGAAGGGAAACCGAGUCUUAACUGGGCGUUAAGUUGCAGGGUAUAGACCCGAAACCCGGUGAUCUAGCCAUGGGCAGGUUGAAGGUUGGGUAACACUAACUGGAGGACCGAACCGACUAAUGUUGAAAAAUUAGCGGAUGACUUGUGGCUGGGGGUGAAAGGCCAAUCAAACCGGGAGAUAGCUGGUUCUCCCCGAAAGCUAUUUAGGUAGCGCCUCGUGAAUUCAUCUCCGGGGGUAGAGCACUGUUUCGGCAAGGGGGUCAUCCCGACUUACCAACCCGAUGCAAACUGCGAAUACCGGAGAAUGUUAUCACGGGAGACACACGGCGGGUGCUAACGUCCGUCGUGAAGAGGGAAACAACCCAGACCGCCAGCUAAGGUCCCAAAGUCAUGGUUAAGUGGGAAACGAUGUGGGAAGGCCCAGACAGCCAGGAUGUUGGCUUAGAAGCAGCCAUCAUUUAAAGAAAGCGUAAUAGCUCACUGGUCGAGUCGGCCUGCGCGGAAGAUGUAACGGGGCUAAACCAUGCACCGAAGCUGCGGCAGCGACACUAUGUGUUGUUGGGUAGGGGAGCGUUCUGUAAGCCUGUGAAGGUGGCCUGUGAGGGUUGCUGGAGGUAUCAGAAGUGCGAAUGCUGACAUAAGUAACGAUAAAGCGGGUGAAAAGCCCGCUCGCCGGAAGACCAAGGGUUCCUGUCCAACGUUAAUCGGGGCAGGGUGAGUCGACCCCUAAGGCGAGGCCGAAAGGCGUAGUCGAUGGGAAACAGGUUAAUAUUCCUGUACUUGGUGUUACUGCGAAGGGGGGACGGAGAAGGCUAUGUUGGCCGGGCGACGGUUGUCCCGGUUUAAGCGU